rnacentral:rRNA from 1 species
AUUGAACGCUGGCGGCAGGCCUAACACAUGCAAGUCGAACGAGUGGCGGACGGGUGAGUGAUGUCUGGGAAACUGCCUGAUGGAGGGGGAUAACUACUGGAAACGGUAGCUAAUACCGCAUACCAUCGGAUGUGCCCAGAUGGGAUUAGCUAGUAGGUGGGGUAAAGGCUAACCUAGGCGACGAUCCCUAGCUGGUCUGAGAGGAUGACCAGCCACACGUGAACUGAGACACGGUCCAGAAGCCUACUGGAGGCAGCAGUGGGGAAUAUUGCACAAUGGGGGGAAGCCUGAUGCAGCCAUGCCGCGUGUAUGAAGAAGGCCUUCGGGUUGUAAAGUACUUUCAGCGGGUGGGCGUUUCCCGCAGGAGAAGCACCGGCUAACUCCGUGCCAGCAGCCGCGGUAAUAC